CCCUUAGAUGUCCUGGGCCGCACGCGCGCUACACUGACAUGUUCAACAAGCCUCCUAGUUCGACAGGAUUUGGGAAAUCUUUGAACGCAUGUCGUGAUAGGGAUAGAUCAUUGCAAUUAUUGAUCUUGAACGAGGAAUUCCUAGUAAACGCGAGUCAUCAGCUCGCAUUGAUUACGUCCCUGCCCUUUGUACACACCGCCCGUCGCACCUACCGAUUGAAUGUUUCGGUGAAGAUUCCGGAUAGGACUUUUUUGAUUUAUUUCAAUUCUGUCUUAAAAGCUAUCUAAACCUCAACAUUUAGAGGAAGGUGAAGCCGUAACA
rnacentral:rRNA from 1 species